UACGUAGGGGGCAAGCGUUGUCCGGAUUUAUUGGGCGUAAAGAGCGUGUAGGCGGCUUGGUAGGUCCGCUGUGAAAACUCGAGGCUCAACCUCGAGAUGUCGGCGGAAACCACUUGGCUAGAGUCCGGAAGAGGAGAGUGGAAUUCCCGGUGUAGCGGUGAAAUGCGCAGAUAUCGGGAGGAACACCGGUGGCGAAGGCGGCUCUCUGGACCACAACUGACGCUGAGGCGCGAAAGCUAGGGGAGCAAACAGG
rnacentral:rRNA from 1 species